UACGAAGGGGGCUAGCGUUGCCCGGAAUCACUGGGCGUAAAGCGCACGUAGGCGGACUCUUAAGUCGGUGGUGAAAUCCUGGAGCUCAACUCCAGAACUGCCUUCGAUACUGAGAGUCUCGAGUCCGGGAGAGGUGAGUGGAACUGCGAGUGUAGAGGUGAAAUUCGUAGAUAUUCGCAAGAACACCAGUGGCGAAGGCGGCUCACUGGCCCGGUACUGACGCUGAGGUGCGAAAGCGUGGGGAGCAAACAGG
rnacentral:rRNA from 1 species